AUCGCUUCUCAGCCUUUUGGCUAAGAUCAAGUGUAGUAUCUGUUCUUAUCAGUUGAAAAAUGUGAAAAGAUAAGCAAUAAGCUGGAAGAAAAUAUCUGCAAUGCAUAUAAUAUUCAAAGGUAUGAUAUCUACA
rnacentral:snRNA from 1 species